rnacentral:rRNA from 1 species
CAUGGAGUUUGAUCCUGGCUCAGAUUGAACGCUGGCGGAAUGCUUUACACAUGCAAGUCGAACGGUAGAGGGGGCAACCCCUUGAGAGUGGCGAACGGGUGAGUAAUAUAUCGGAACGUGCCCAGUCGUGGGGGAUAACGUAGUGAAAAUUACGCUAAUACCGCAUACGAUCUAAGGAUGAAAGCGGGGGACUCAGCAAUGGGCCUCGCGCGAUUGGAGCGGCCGAUAUCAGAUUAGCUAGUUGGUGGGGUAAAACGCCCACCAAGGCGACGAUCUGUAGCUGGUCUGAGAGGACGACCAGCCACACUGGAACUGAGACACGGUCCAGACUCCGUACGGGAGGCAGCAGUGGGGUAAUUUUGGACAAUGGACGCAAGUCUGACUCCC